CGUGCGUGACCCACCUCUUCCCAUUCCGAACAGAGAAGUGAAAGCGCACGGCCUCGAUGAUACUACGCUGCGAGCGUGGGAAAGUAGAGUCUGCCGGGG
rnacentral:rRNA from 1 species